rnacentral:rRNA from 1 species
UUGAUCCUGGCUCAGGAUGAACGCUAGCGGGAGGCCUAAUACAUGCAAGUCGAACGGUAAGUUAGUUGCUUGCAACUAACACGAGUGGCGCACGGGUGAGUAACGCGUACGCGACCUGCCCUCAAGAGGGAAAUAGCCCUGGGAAACCGGGAUUAAUGUCCCAUGUGAUUGUAUUUCUAAGGGAUAUAAUUAAAGGAGCGAUCCGCUUGAGGAUGGGCGUGCGUGCUAUUAGCUAGUUGGUGAGGUAAUGGCUCACCAAGGCGACGAUAGCUAGGGGGCGUGAGAGCGUGACCCCCCACACGGGUACUGAGACACGGACCCGACUCCUACGGGAGGCAGCAGUAAGGAAUAUUGGACAAUGGGGGCAACCCUGAUCCAGCCGUCCCGCGUGCAGGAAGACGGCCCUAUGGGUUGUAAACUGCUUUUAUUAGGGAAGAAUAGCAUCAAUGAAUCGGUGUAUGACGGUACCUAAAGAAUAAGCACCGGCUAACUCCGUGCCAGCAGCCGCGGUAAUACGGAGGGUGCAAGCGUUAUCCGGAAUCACUGGGUUUAAGGGUGCGUAGUGGAAUAGUAAGUCAGCGUGAAGGUUACAGUUAACUGUAACUUGCUUGAUACUGUAUCUUGAAUUAGAUGAGGUUGGAGAAUGCGACAUGUAGCGGUGAAAUGCAUAGAUAUGUCGUAGAAUACCGAUUGCGAAGGCAGCCAACCGGACUUAAAUUGACACUGAGGCACGAAAGCGUGGGGAGCGA